rnacentral:rRNA from 1 species
AGUGAACGCUGGCGGUAGGCCUAACACAUGCAAGUCGAACGGCAGCACAGUAAGAGCUUGCUCUUACGGGUGGCGAGUGGCGGACGGGUGAGGAAUACAUCGGAAUCUACUUUUUCGUGGGUGAUAACGUAGGGAAACUUACGCUAAUACCGCAUACGACCUACGGGUGAAAGCAGGGGAUCUUCGGACCUUGCGCGAUUGAAUGAGCCGAUGUCGGAUUAGCUAGUUGGCGGGGUAAAGGCCCACCAAGGCGACGAUCCGUAGCUGGUCUGAGAGGAUGAUCAGCCACACUGGAAGUGAGACACGGUCCAGACUCCUACGGGAGGCAGCAGUGGGGAAUAUUGGACAAUGGGCGCAAGCCUGAUACAGCCAUACCGCGUGAGUGAAGAAGGCCUUCGGGUUGUAAAGCCCUUUUGUUGGGAAAGAAAAGCAGCAGGUUAAUACCCCGCUGUUCUGACGGUACCCAAAGAAUAAGCACCGGCUAACUUCGUG